rnacentral:lncRNA from 1 species
ACUUCUUCUUCAGAGUCAUAAGAACUUGAUAGUUGCUUUUCUUCUGAUAUUCUGCCGUCCAGAGUUGCUUCUCUAACUACUUUUCUCAGAGCAUGUGAGGUUCUUUCAAUUUGUAAAUCGAAUGGAAUUAAUGUUGAUCGUGAAGUGCACAUACACAAAAAAAUCCUCUGUAGCACUAUGAUAAACAUGAAAAUGAAACAAAAAUUAAAAAUACUAAAA